CUAUCAAUGGGAAAAUGUUCGGAAACCUACAAGGUCUCACGAUGCACGUGGGAGACGAGGUCAACUGGUAUGUGAUGGCUAUGGGCAAUGAAAUAGACCUGCACACUGUACACUUCCACGGCCACAGCUUCCAAUACAAGCACAGGGGAAUUCAUAGUUCUGAUGUCUUUGACCUUUUUCCUGGAACAUACCAAACCCUAGAGAUGUUUCCCCAAACGCCUGGAACCUGGUUACUCCACUGCCAUGUGACUGACCAUAUUCAUGCGGGGAUGGUAACUACCUACACUGUUUUACCAAAUCAAGCAUCGUCUCAGAGCUACAGGAUGACCUGGAACAUACUCUAUACACUGUUAAUCAGCAUGACUACUUUAUUCCAAAUAUCUACCAAGGAGUAGCCAGGAAAAUAAGCUGUCUCUACAAUCGAUACUAUCCGCAUUUUGACCAAUUCCAAAAGUUUAAACCAGGAAUUACACACCCUAAACAUAAAAGGUUCGAGCAGAAGAAAAUGCCUAAGGGCCCUUGGGUAUAAGAAAAGAUUCGAGAGCCUCAGCGUCUGGAUGAGAAGCCAUGGAGGUGUUUUCAAGAACAUUCUAAAAAUGAAGAUGGUUGUACAGCUCAUUUCCCUGCAACAAGACCAGUCCCUCAGCUCAGGGGCUUCCUCCAUCACCAGUUCCAUCCAGGAGCCAGGAUUCCAAAGCUCCUAAAUGUGAUCAACUAUAGACUUUGCCCCUCAAAAGCUAUAUUCUAAAUUAACAAGACAUGUGCUAUCACGCCAUAUUUAAAUUGUAUACGAUAUCGAAAUAUAUUGCAUAUUUUAAAAGUAAAA
rnacentral:lncRNA from 1 species